rnacentral:rRNA from 1 species
CCUACGGGGGGCAGCAGUGAGGAAUAUUGGUCAAUGGGCGCGAGCCUGAACCAGCCACGCAGCGUGAAGGAUGACUGCCCUACGGGUUGUAAACUUCUUUUAUAAAGGAAUACAGUGAGGCACGUGUGCCUUUUUGUCUGUACUUUAUGUAUAAGGAUCGGCAUACUCCGUGCCGGCCGCCGCGUUAAUACGGAGGGUCCGAGCGUUAUCCGGAUUUAUUGGGUUUAAGGGAAGCGUAGGUGGGUUUUUAAGUCAGUUGUGAAAGUUUGCGGCUCAACCGUAAAAUUGCAAUUGAUACUGGCAGUCGUGAGUACAGUUGAGGUAGGCGGAAUUCGUGGUGUAGCGGUGAAAUGCUUAGAUAUCACGAAGAACUCCGAUUGCGAAGGCAGCUUACUAAACUGCCACUGACAUUGAUGCUCGAAAGUGUGGGUAUCAAACAGGAUUAGAUACCCGGGUAGUC